GAUGAACGCUGGCUACAGGCUUAACACAUGCAAGUCGUGGGGAAACGGCAUUAUGUGCUUGCACAUUCUGGACGUCGACCGGCGCACGGGUGAGUAUCGCGUAUCCAACCUGCCCUUUACUUGGGGAUACCCCGUUGAAAGACGGCCUAAUACCCGAUGUAAUUCAUUGAUGGCAUCAGAUAUGAAUAAAAGAUUUAUCGGUAAAGGAUGGGGAUGCGUCUGAUUAGCUUGUUGGUGAGGUAAAGGCUCACCAAGGCAACGAUCAGUAGGGGUUCUGAGAGGAAGGUCCCCCACAUUGGAACUGAGACACGGUCCAAACUCCUACGGGAGGCAGCAGUGAGGAAUAUUGGUCAAUGGGCGCAAGCCUGAACCAGCCAAGUAGCGUGCAGGAAGACGGCCCUAUGGGUUGUAAACUGCUUUUAUACGAGAAUAAUUUGAUGCACGUGUGCGUUAUUGCAUGUAUCGUAUGAAUAAGGACCGGCUAAUUCCGUGCCAGCAGCCGCGGUAAUACGGAAGGUCCAGGCGUUAUCCGGAUUUAUUGGGUUUAAAGGGAGUGUAGGCGGUUUGUUAAGCGUGUUGUGAAAUUUAGGUGCUCAACAUUUAACUUGCAGCGCGAACUGGCGAACUUGAGUGCACACAACGUAUGCGGAAUUCAUGGUGUAGCGGUGAAAUGCUUAGAUAUCAUGAAGAACUCCGAUUGCGAAGGCAGCAUACGGGAGUGUAACUGACGCUUAAGCUCGAAGGUGCGGGUAUCGAACAGG
rnacentral:rRNA from 1 species